rnacentral:SRP_RNA from 1 species
GCCAGAUGUGGUGGCGCACACCUGUAAUCUCAGCUACUUAGGAGGCUGAGGCACGAGAAUUGCUUGCACCCGGGAGGCGGGGGUUGCAGUGAGCCGAGAUCACUCGACUGCACUGCAGCCUGGGUGAUAGAGCAAGACUCUGUCUCAA